UCAGAAAAGGUGCCCAUGUGGUGCGUCCCAUCAAAGAGGCAGCCUCAUACGGUUAUGCAACAUCAUUGAUGAAGGCCCUUCAGGAAAGCUACACCCAUUCACCUGCAGCUCUUCGAGAGACAAGUCCAAUGAUUUAGUUGUAAGUAUUUAUUUUAGUUGUUAUUUAUCUUCUUUCCUUCUGUCCCUGUCAUCUCAUUUGGUGGUGGUUUCCUGUAUUCUGCAUGUUUUGUGUGUUGUUGCUUUGGUUUUACUUUGCACUAAAUCAUUACUUUUUUCGUCUUUGUAAGUGGCAUUAAUUGUCGCUGUACCCCAUUCAAGGGGUCCUGCAUGCUGCAUGUCUGCUCCUCUGUCUGUUAUUUGCAUGAAAUUUGUUUUAUGUAAUUCAAAAUAAUUUACCAAUCAUUUUACCUGUGCCUUGUCAACCUCUGUGUGCGGUGUUGUCUGGGUUCACUGUGUGUCAGCUUGAUAUGCUUUUGCAUGUAUCACUGCAUAUGCAUUCAUGAAAG